UACAGAGGUCUCAAGCGUUGUUCGGAUUCAUUGGGCGUAAAGGGUGUGUAGGUGGCGCUGUAAGUCGGGUGUGAAAUUUCGGAGCUUAACUCCGAAACUGCAUUCGAUACUGCGGUGCUUGAGGACUGGAGAGGAGACUGGAAUUCAUGGUGUAGCAGUGAAAUGCGUAGAGAUCGUGAGGAAGACCAGUGGCGAAGGCGGGUCUCUGGACAGUUCCUGACACUGAGACACGAAGGCCAGGGGAGCAAACGGG
rnacentral:rRNA from 1 species